CUCCACAGAACCCAGGACCCCUCUACAGAACCCAGGACCCCUCCACAGAACCCAGGACCCCUCUAUAGAACCCAGGACCCCCCACAGAACCCAGAACCCCUCUACAGAACCCAGGACCCCUCCAUAGAACCCAGGACCCUUCCACAGAACCCAGAACCCCUCUACAGAACCCAGGACCCCUCCACAGAACCCAGGACCCCUCUAUAGAACCCAGGACCCCUCUACAGAACCCAGAACCCCUCCACAGAACCCAGGGCCCCUCCACAGAACCCAGGACCCCUCUACAGAACCCAGGACCCCUCUACAGAACCCAGGACCCCUCCACAGAACCCAGGACCCCUCUACAGAACCCA
rnacentral:lncRNA from 1 species